AGUAACACGUGGAUAACCUACCUAUAAGACUGGGAUAACUUCGGGAAACCGGAGCUAAUACCGGAUAAUAUAUUGAACCGCAUGGUUCAAUGGUGAAAGACGGUUUUGCUGUCACUUAUAGAUGGAUCCGCGCCGCAUUAGCUAGUUGGUAAGGUAACGGCUUACCAAGGCAACGAUGCGUAGGCCGACCUGAGAGGGUGAUCGGCCACACUGGAACUGAGACACGGUCCAGACUCCUACGGGAGGCAGCAGCG
rnacentral:rRNA from 1 species